UGGUCAUAACAUCAACAACAUCAAGCAUUCAUAAUCACCCAACACAUAAUCAUGGUUGUUUCAACAAAUUAAAAUAGAGAAGAGGCAAUGGGCUAAAGAAAAUGGACCUUUUGAUAUCGACUUUCAUUGAAAAUAAUGUUAAAGAAGCCCGAAUAGGAGAACCUCAACAGCGAUGGAAUCCAAGCUCGGUAUCGAAGAAUUGAGACCCAAAACUGAACUCAACGAACAAGUCAGGAUGAACCGAAACCUAAAUCCCCAAACCAAAAACGACUACCGAUGAACCCAAGAUAGAAAUCGCAACAGUACAAACCCGACCCGUAUAUGAAAAGACUAUCGCAAAGUAGAUUCAAAACAAGAUCCAUUUCAGCGAAGACACCCUUGUUAUUUCAAUAUUUUCUGACUAAAUUCAACGUCGCCAG
rnacentral:lncRNA from 1 species